AAUCUCUCCAUCAAAACGCAAUUCGGAUUCGUAAUCGUAUGAGUAGCAAAACUAAGCAAAACAAAUGAAUCUCAAAUUUCGCCGUAAUCAGUGAAAUGAUAAAAAUAUGAAAUAGUAUGAUCGCGUUUUUAAUACGAAUCGUUUUCUUCUUCAAUGCAACAAUUUGAAAUCACUCAUAAAAUGACCAAGUACCUAACACUAGGUCAUGUUAUUUUUUAGAAAAUUUAAAUUUAAAAAUUAUGAUAAACUGUUUGAGGCGAAAAAUCAGGGUACCUCUAUUCAUAGUAUUAUUUUUUUUAACGCUUUUUGCAUUUUUGUUUUACAAACAUGUGAGAAAUGUCCACCAGAGACGUGAAAUGUUGAACCGAUUUCUAUUUUAUAAACAAUUUCUUUAUGAUGUCAAGUUGAACGUUAAUGAUUUGAAAAGAAAAAACAACAAUUCAGAAAUUAAUGUGAAUAAACUAUCUAGAGUACUAACAAUUCUAUUUGAAUCCGCUAAUAAAAGUAAAAGUUCACAAUGAAAAAUAAUGUUUCCGGUAUCGGAGAUUCUCAUCGUUCUCAUCUCUCACUACAUGGAAGUCCCGAAUCUCGGAAUAAGAAGAUUACAAAACUGCGUUCAUCUUUUAGCUCUAUGUUCUGUGAUACAAUGUAAAAGCAUCUAAUUUGAAUGCUAUGAGUCUGUUUCAAUUCUCCACGUCAGACUAGUAAAUACUUACAAUUUUUAAAAAUUUUAAAUAAUGAAACUCUAAUUCUCUUUCUUUUAUAUUUUUAUUAUGAUUGCUCCAGAGAGAUACUUUGUUUAGAUGAGAUGUACGAGUGCUUAUUAUUACUUGUAGGUACUUUUAAAAUUUUUUUACCAUUCAAACUUAGUUGAUAAUAAGUUUCAAUAGUCAAGAUGUUGAAAUUGAAACUUCGAUCAAAGGAUACCCUACAUUCAUAAUUUUUGUAAACCAAAUUAUCAUUAGAGAAGUCCUGAUUAAAGAACAGCCUGGAGAAGAAUAGUGAAUACCAAUAUAAUACGUAUAUACUUAAUAGAAUAGAUUCGGUGUGUUUUUAGUCAUUUUGCCAUUUUUAAAAAUAAAUUCUAAUUUUUAAAUAGAUGGCUUGUGUAGUUACCUCAAAAGUUUGUCGUUCAUUUAUAUUAAAAUUAUUUUACAGUACUUAAGUUACUUACUUUGAUUGUUUCAUUGUAACUUACAAUAUUAUUUUUUAUAUCUGUAAGGCAAGAUGUACUUAUUCUUUGUUAGUCAACUAGUCACGCUUUGCGAUUGUACUUAACAUGUUAUAUCAUUUUAAUUCAUUUUUUUUUCAAGUUUAAAAUCAAAAUACAUGAACGUUUUCAUUUAUUGACUCAA